rnacentral:rRNA from 1 species
GAGCGGCCGUAGCAAUACGGCAGCGGCAGACGGGAGAGUAACACGUGGGAACGCGCCCUUCGGUUCGGAAUAACUCAGGGAAACUUGGGCUAAUACCGGAUACGCCCUUACGGGGAAAGAUUUAUUGCCGAAGGAACGGCCCGCGUCCGAUUAGCUUGUUGGUGAGGUAACGGCUCACCAAGGCGACGAUCGGUAGCUGGUCUGAGAGGAUGACCAGCCUCACUGGGACUGAGACACGGCCCAGACUCCUACGGGAGGCAGCAGUGGGGAAUAUUGGACAAUGGGCGCAAGCCUGAUCCAGCCAUGCCGCGUGAGUGAUGAAGGCCCUAGGGUUGUAAAGCUCUUUCAGCGGGGAAGAUAAUGACGGUACCCGCAGAAGAAGCCCCGGCUAACUUCGUG